CCUACGGGAGGCAGCAGUGGGGGAUAUUGCACAAUGGGGGGAACCCUGAUGCAGCGACGCCGCGUGGGUGAAGAAGCGCCUCGGCGCGUAAAGCCCUGUCAGCAGGGAAGAAAAUGACGGUACCUGAAGAAGAAGCCACGGCUAACUACGUGCCAGCAGCCGCGGUAAUACGUAGGGGGCAAGCGUUAUCCGGAUUUACGGGGUGGAAAGGGGGCGCAGACGGCGAUGCAAGCCAGGAGUGAAAGCCCGGGGCCCAACCCCGGGACUGCUCUUGGAACUGCGUGGCUGGAGUGCAGGAGGGGCAGGCGGAAUUCCUGGUGUAGCGGUGAAAUGCGUAGAUAUCAGGAGGAACACCGGUGGCGAAGGCGGCCUGCUGGACUGCAACUGACGUUGAGGCCCGAAAGCGUGGGGAGCAAACAGGAUUAGAUACCCCUGUAGUC
rnacentral:rRNA from 1 species